UACAGAGACCUCAAGCGUUAUCCGGAAUCAUUGGGCGUAAAGCGUACCGACAGGUGGUCAUACAAGUUAGAAGUGAAAUCUCAAAGCUUAACUUUGAGUCUGUCUUUUGAAACUGUAUGACUAGAGGGGCAAAGAGGAAGCUGGAACGAACGGUGUAGUAGUGAAAUGCGUUGAUAUCGUUCGGAACACCAAUAGCGUAGGCAGGCUUCUGGGUGCCACCUGACACUGCUAGGACGAAAGCGUGGGGAGCGAAUGGG
rnacentral:rRNA from 1 species